rnacentral:rRNA from 1 species
AUUGAACGCUGGCGGAAUGCUUUACACAUGCAAGUCGAACGGUAGAGGGGGCAACCCCUCGAGAGUGGCGAACGGGUGAGUAAUAUAUCGGAACGUGCCCAGUCGUGGGGGAUAACGUAGCGAAAGUUACGCUAAUACCGCAUACGAUCCAAGGAUGAAAGCGGGGGAUCGCCAGACCUCGCGCGAUUGGAGCGGCCGAUAUCAGAUUAGGUAGUUGGUGGGGUAAAGGCUCAACAAGCCAACGAUCUGUAGCUGGUCUGAGAGGACGACCAGCCACACUGGAACGGAGACACGGUCCAGACUCCUACGGGAGGCAGCAGUGGGGAAUUUUGGACAAUGGACGCAAGUCUGAUCCAGCCAUUCCGCGUGCAGGAUGAAGGCCCUCGGGUUGUAAACUGCUUUUGUACGGAACGAAAAGGUCUCUCUUAAUACGGGGGACUCAUGACGGUACCGUAAGAACAAGCACCGGCUAACUACGUGCCAGCAGCCGCCGUAA